rnacentral:rRNA from 1 species
UCUGGACUGACACUGACGCUGAGGUACGAAAGCGUGGGUAGCAAACAGGAUUAGAUACCCUGGUAGUCCACGCCGUAAACGAUGUCGACUAGCCGUUGGGGUCCUCGAGACCUUUGUGGCGCAGUUAACGCACUAAGUCGACCGCCUGGGGAGUACGGCCGCAAGGUUAAAACUCAAAUGAAUUGACGGGGGCCCGCACAAGCGGUGGAGCAUGUGGUUUAAUUCGAUGCAACGCGAAGAACCUUACCUACCCUUGACAUCGUGCGAACUUUCCAGAGAUGGAUUGGUGCCUUCGGGAGCGCACAGACAGGUGCUGCAUGGCUGUCGUCAGCUCGUGUUGUGAAAUGUUGGGUUAAGUCCCGUAACGAGCGCAACCCUUGUCCCUAUUUGCCAGCGAUUCGGUCGGGAACUCUAGGGAGACUGCCGGUGACAAACCGGAGGAAGGUGGGGACGACGUCAAGUCAUCAUGGCCCUUACGGGUAGGGCUACACACGUGCUACAAUGGCCGGUACAAUGGGUUGCAAAGCGGCGACGUGGAGCUAAUCUCAUAAAGCCGGUCUCAGUCCGGAUCGGAGUCUGCAACUCGACUCCGUGAAGUCGGAAUCGCUAGUAAUCGUGCAUCAGAAUGGCACGGUGAAUACGUUCCCGGGCCUUGUACACACCGCCCGUCACACCAUGGGAGUGGACUGCACCAGAAGUGGUUAGCCUAACUUCGGAGGGCGAUCACCACGGUGUGGUUCAUGACUGGGGUGAAGUCGUAAC